rnacentral:rRNA from 1 species
GUGCCAGCCGCCGCGGUAAUACGGAGGAUGCAAGCGUUAUCCGGAUUUAUUGGGUUUAAAGGGUGCGUAGCGGACGCGUAAGUCAGCGGUGAAAUAUCCCGGCUCAACCGGGAGGCUGCCGUUGAUACUGCGCGACUCGAGUCCAAACGGCGCCGGCGGAAUAUGUAAUGUAGCGGUGAAAUGCAUAGAUAUUACAUAGAACACCGAUCGCGAAGCAGCUGGCGAGGAUGGCACUGACGCUGAGGCACGAAGGCGUGGGGAUCAAACAGGAUUAGAUACCCUGGCAUCCACGCAUAAACGAUGAUAACUUGUUGUCGGCGAUAGACGGCCGGUGACAAAGCGAAAGCGAUAAGUUAUCCACCUGGGGAGUACGAUCGCAAGGUUGAAACUCAAAGGAAUUGACGGGGGCCCGCACAAGCGGAGGAGCAUGUGGUUUAAUUCGAUGAUACGCGAGGAACCUUACCUAGACUCAAAUGCAGGACGGCAGGCCCAGAGAUGGGCCCUCCCUUCGGGGCGGACUGCAAGGUGCUGCAUGGUUGUCGUCAGCUCGUGCCGUGAGGUGUCAGGUUAAGUCCUAUAACGAGCGCAACCCCUACGUCCAGUUGCCAGCGGGUAAUGCCGGGGACUCUGGAGGGACUGCCGGCGCAAGCCGAGAGGAAGGUGGGGAUGACGUCAAAUCAGCACGGCCCUUACGUCUAGGGCGACACACGUGCUACAAUGGCCGGUACAGAGGGCAGCCACCCCGCGAGGGGGAGCGAAUCUCGAAAGCCGGUCUCAGUUCGGAUCGGAGUCUGCAACUCGACUCCGUGAAGUUGGAUUCGCUAGUAAUCGCGCAUCAGCCAUGGCGCGGUGAAUACGUUCCCGGGCCUUGCACACACCGCCCGU